GUCAGUGUGGUGUAGUGGUUUGAGCGUUGGACUACAACUCUAGAGAUCAGGGUUUGAUUCCCAGCUCGGCCA